GACGAACGCUGGCGGCGUGCUUAACACAUGCAAGUGGAGCGACGAACCAGGGCUUGCCCUGGGGCAGAGCCGCGAACGGGUGAGUAACACGUGGGUAACGUGCCCCAAUGAUCGGGACAACCCGGGGAAACCCGGGCUAAUACCGGAUGUGCUUCCCUCACACCAGUGAGGGAUGGAAAGGAAGCUUCGGCCUCCGCAUUGGGAUCGGCCCGCGGCCCAUUAGCUUGUUGGUGAGGUAACGGCUCACCAAGGCUGCGAUGGGUAGCUGGUCUGAGAGGACGAUCAGCCACACUGGGACUGAGACACGGCCCAGACUCCUACGGGAGGCAGCAGUGGGGAAUCUUGCGCAAUGCGCGAAAGCGUGACGCAGCAACGCCGCGUGGGGGAAGAAGGCCUUCGGGUUGUAAACCCCUUUCAGGAGGGACGAAGCGUGGGCGGUUAAUAGCCGAUCCACGUGACGGUACCUCCAGAAGAAGCCCCGGCUAACUACGUGCCAGCCGCCGCCGUAAUAC
rnacentral:rRNA from 1 species